rnacentral:rRNA from 1 species
AUUGAACGCUGGCGGCAGGCCUAACACAUGCAAGUCGAGCGAGCGGCGGACGGGUGAGUAAUGUAUGGGGACUGCCCGAUAGAGGGGGAUAACUACUGUAAACGGUAGCUAAUACCGCAUACUAUCGGAUAACCCAUAUGGGAUUAGCUAGUAGGUGGGGUAAUGGCUCACCUAGGCGACGAUCCCUAGCUGGUCUGAGAGGCUGAUCAGCCAAACUAGGACUGAGACAGGGCCCAGACUCCUACGGAGGAAGCAGUGGGGAAUAUUGCACAAUGGGCGCGAGCCUGAUGCAGCCAUGCCGCGUGUUUGAAGAAGGCCCUAGGGUUGUAAAGUACUUUCAGUCGGGAGGCGUUACCGACAGAAGAAGCACCGGCUAACUCCGUUCCAGCAGCCGCGGUAAUUC